rnacentral:rRNA from 1 species
GACGAACGCUGGCGGCGUGCUUAACACAUGCAAGUCGAACGAUGAAGCUGGAGCUUGCUCUGGUGGAUUAGUGGCGAACGGGUGAGUAACACGUGAGUAACCUGCCCUGGACUCUGGGAUAACCCCGAGAAAUCGGAGCUAAUACCGGAUAGGACCUUGCACCGCAUGGUGUGGGGUGGAAAGUUUUUCGGUCUGGGAUGGACUCGCGGUCUAUCAGCUUGUUGGUGAGGUAAUGGCUCACCAAGGCGUCGACGGGUAGCCGGCCUGAGAGGGUGACCGGCCACACUGGGACUGAGACACGGCCCAGACUCCUACGGGAGGCAGCAGUGGGGAAUAUUGCACAAUGGGCGCAAGCCUGAUGCAGCGACGCCGCGUGCGGGAUGACGGCCUUCGGGUUGUAAACCGCUUUUAGUAAGGAAGAAGGGGCUUCGGCCUUGACGGUACUUGCAGAAAAAGGACCGGCUAACUACGUGCCAGCAGCCGCGGUAACAC